UGGGCCCGUAGCUUAGUCUGGUUGGAGCGCUCGGCUGAUAACCGAGAGGUCCGGAGUUCAAAUCUCCGCGGGCCCAUC
rnacentral:tRNA from 1 species